rnacentral:rRNA from 1 species
AUUGAACGCUGGCGGCAGGCCUAACACAUGCAAGUCGAGCGAGCGGCGGACGGGUGAGUAAUGUAUGGGGACUGCCCGAUAGAGGGGGAUAACUACUGGAAACGGUAUCUCAUACCGCAUACUAUCGGAUAACCCAUAUGGGAUUAGCUAGUGGUUGAGGUAAUGGCUCACCUAGGCGACGACCCCUAGCUGGUCUUAGAGGCGGAUCAGCCAAACUGGGACUGAGACACGGCCCAGACUCCUACGGAGGCAGCAGUGGGGAAGAUUGCACAAUGGGCGCAAGCCUGAUGCAGCCAUGCCGCGUGUAUGAAGAAGGCCUUAGGGUUGUAAAGUACUUUCAGUCGGGAGGCGUUACCGACAGAAGAAGCACCGGCUAACUCCGUGCCAGCAGCCGCGGUAAUUC